GCGCCGGUGGUCUAGCGGUAGGACAAUGGCCUUCCAAGCCAUUAGCCCGGGUUCGACUCCCGGCCGGCGCA
rfam:Halococcus hamelinensis 100A6 contig_43, whole genome shotgun sequence.